GUGAAUCAUCAAAUCUUUGAACGCAAAUUGCACUACCUGGUAUUCCGGAGAGUAUGCAUGUUUGAGGGUCAGCCUAUAAAAAUCGACAUUGUUGCUGUUUAGCGGUGAGGUUCGUCGGAAAUUGGGUUAUAUUAAACCUUUUGGUUUAAGCGACUUAAAAUUUUGCUUUUGAUUCCAUGAACGUUUCUAAGAUAUAUUUCUUUACACGUUUAAGGUAUCGAUUUUUAUUAGAUGUGGCUGUCAUAUCGGAUCUCGGACAUAAUGUUUCGCUAAUU
rnacentral:misc_RNA from 1 species